rnacentral:rRNA from 1 species
AGUACUCAUCCGCGAGGGGGGGGGAAUCAACCGCWGGGAUCGUUUACUUUGAGGAAAUUAGAGUGUUCAAAGCAGGCGUAACUCGCCUCCGAAUACGUUAGCAUGGGAUAAUGGAAUACGACUUCGGUCUUGUUUCGUUGGUUUCGCUUGGCUGAAGUAAUGAUUGAUAGGGACAGUUGGGGGCAUUAGUAUUUAGUUGUCAGAGGUGAAAUUCUAGGAUUUACUAAAGACUGACCAAUGCGAAAGCAUUUGCCAAGGAUGUUUUCAUUAAUCAAGAACGAAAGUAGGGGGAUCGAAGACGAUCAGAUACCGUCGUAGUCUCUACCGUAAACUAUGCCGACCAGGGAUCCGGAGAGUUUGCAUGGAUGACUCCCCGGGCACCUUGUGAGUUUUCAUAAGUGUUUGGGUUUUGGGGGGAGUAUGGUSGCAAGGCUGAAACUAAAGAAUGACGAAGCCGAAGCUGCCGGAAGUA